rnacentral:rRNA from 1 species
AGGACGAACGCUGGCGGCGUGCCUAAUACAUGCAAGUCGAACGGUCUUUCUAUGGAAGCUUGCUUCCACUGAGAAGAUAGUGGCGAACGGGUGAGUAACACGUGGGUAACCUGCCCAUAAGAGGGGGAUAACAUCCGGAAACGGAUGCUAAUACCGCAUAGGGUUUUCUUGAUCGCAUGAUCGGGAAAGGAAAGACGGCCUUUGUGCUGUCGCUUAUGGAUGGACCCGCGGCGUAUUAGUUAGUUGGUGAGGUAACGGCUCACCAAGACGAUGAUACGUAGCCGACCUGAGAGGGUGAUCGGCCACAUUGGGACUGAGACACGGCCCAAACUCCUACGGGAGGCAGCAGUAGGGAAUCUUCCGCAAUGGACGAAAGUCUGACGGAGCAACGCCGCGUGAGUGAAGAAAGGUUUUCGGAUCGUAAAACUCUGUUGUCAGAGAAGAACAAGUUGGAGAGUAACUGCUCCAGCCUUGACGGUAUCUGACCAGAAAGCCACGGCUAACUACGUGCCAGCCGCCGC